rnacentral:rRNA from 1 species
UACGUAGGGUGCGAGCGUUGUCCGGAAUUAUUGGGCGUAAAGAGCUCGUAGGCGGUUUGUUGCGUCUAUCGUGAAAACCUGCAGCUUAACUGUGGGCUUGCGGUGGAUACGGGCAGACUUGAGUUCGGUAGGGGAGACUGGAAUUCCUGGUGUAGCGGUGAAAUGCGCAGAUAUCAGGAGGAACACCAGUGGCGAAGGCGGCUCACUGGCCCGGUACUGACGCUGAGGUGCGAAAGCGUGGGGAGCAAACAGG